rnacentral:rRNA from 1 species
AGGACGAACGCUGGCGGCGUGCCUAACACAUGCAAGUCGAACGAGGUUAAUCCGGUAGCAAUACUGGUGACUGCCUAGUGGCGAACGGGUGAGUAGCACGUGAGCAACCUGCCCCGAAGACCGGGACAACACCGGGAAACCGGUGCUAAUACCGGAUACCCCCACCUAAUCGCAUGAUCUGGUGAGGAAAUGGAUUCCGCUUCGGGAGGGGCUCGCGGCCUAUCAGCUAGUUGGUGAGGUAACGGCUCACCAAGGCUUCGACGGGUAGCUGGUCUGAGAGGACGAUCAGCCACACUGGGACUGAGACACGGCCCAGACUCCUACGGGAGGCAGCAGUGGGGAAUCUUGCACAAUGGGCGAAAGCCUGAUGCAGCAACGCCGCGUGAGGACGAAGGCUUUCUGAGUUGUAAACCUCUUUCAGCAGGGACGAUUGUGACGGUACCUGCAGAAGAACGCCCGGCAACUACGUGCCAGCAGCCGCGGUAAU